UUGAAAGGCCAUAUCGUUUAUCGUCAUUCUGCUAUUUAGAAUAAUUAACAAAAAUGAUUAUAAACCAAUACCAAUGUAUACCUUGAUUGAAUCAGGUCACCUAAUACCAUCUAAUAUACAGUAUCGCACCCUUAAAUUGGAUGUUUUACGAGGGGAUGUGUUUCGUGUAUGUGAAGCUCGUUUUAUUAUCGCAUCUGUCGUGAUCCGGACGAAGCUAAAUUGAUGGAAAAAUUCGCCAUUGUAAAGAGAAAAAGAAUAAGAAGAUG
rnacentral:lncRNA from 1 species